UUUUUUUUGAUUCCACUGAACCUUUGGUCCUUGCUUAAUGAGCCACCUGCAGAUGAAGUGUUCUACCCUCCUCUUGUUCCAGGGCUACGCUGAUGGACCAGGCCGCGUGCAGCCCAAAGGCAGGGCUCCGCCUUUGGUUACAACAGGGCUCAGGAGCUGGGGAUUAUACAACAGAUGCCCUAUAUUCUGCUCACAUCCAAGCUUAGGGCUUUAUAAGUGUAAUCUUUGCUCAAGUAGGCAUGAGUGUUUGCGUACAUCUUUGGGUAACUUUCGCUUGUCGUCCUUAGGUGGUAACUGAUUAAUUGAGGAGGCAGGCCCUCCACAUGAGAACCAAAGGCUGUAUUUGGAAAAGGGUAGUCGAGGGACCACCUGUAUCAGUAUCUCUUGGGAUGUUUUAAUAAUGCAUAUUCCUGGGUCCUAGCCAGACUUGCUAAAUGAAACUCUCUAGAGGUGGGGCCUAGGAUCUGCAUUAUAGCAAGUGUAGAGGAGGCAAACUAAUUUUCCCUCAACUCUUCUGAGUUCUUAGCUGUGAUUCCUGUAAUAAAAGACAAAUCAAUAAGAGAAAAUGACCAGAGGGUUAUUAACACGACUAUCUCAUGUAUGCACAGGAGAUAUCCAGGAAAAACAUGGCUUGAUGAGCAGUGUGUAGGUCUACACCCAAGAUCUGAACCCACGAACCCUGGGCCACUGAAGCAGAGCACAUGAACUUAACCACUACACCACCAGGCCAGACCCUGGAGGAUAUGUCUUCAGGACAUAUCUGUUCGUCAAGAAAUAUCUCCUGUCAAGCAGCCUUUGAAAGAGAUUGCGGCUCAUGAUCUGAGAUCCCAGAAACACUCUCUGUCGUAAUGACUAAAAAAUUAAAAUGGACAUCAAAAGCCCUGAAAGCUAAACGAAAAGACAACUUUCACUGAGAAGAUGCGUUCUUGAGACCUAGACUUCUAACGAAGCACAGGAUAGCUAACAUAUCUGAAUCUCAGGAUUGUGCUUCAGAAACUCUCAUCUUCUAGGUCUGCCUCUAUUUGCUACUUUCUGACAAGUACUUGACCUCACGGCAUCUCCACUCCUGUCAAUCAAUCGAGAGCAACUAUGUUCAGUGCCGUCUAUGUCCUAGAGGUUCUCACCAUGAAGAAUUUGUAAAUAAAAAGUACUAUGAAAACGACAA
rnacentral:lncRNA from 1 species